rnacentral:rRNA from 1 species
CCUACGGGAGGCAGCAGUGAGGAAUAUUGGUCAAUGGGCGGAAGCCUGAACCAGCCAAGUAGCGUGCGGGAUGAAGGCCCUACGGGUCGUAAACCGCUUUUGCACGGGGAUAACACCCUCCACUUGUGGAGGUCUGCAGGUACCGUGCGACUAAGGGCCGGCUAAUUCCGUGCCAGCAGCCGCGGUAAUACGGAAGGCCCGAGCGUUAUCCGGAUUCAUUGGGCUUAAAGGGAGCGUAGGCCGCAGUUCAAGUCUGCGGUAAAAGCGCGCGGCUCAACCGCGCCCCGCAGUUGAAACUGGGCGCCUUGAGUUCACGACAGGUAUGCGGAAUUCGUGGUGUAGCGGUGAAAUGCAUAGAUAUCACGCAGAACCCCGAUUGCGAAGGCAGCCUACCGGGGUGCGACUGACGCUGAGGCUCGAAGGUGCGGGUAUCGAACAGGAUUAGAUACCCGUGUAGUC